rnacentral:rRNA from 1 species
AACGAACGCUGGCGGCAUGCCUAACACAUGCAAGUCGAACGAGACCUUUGGGUCUAGUGGCGCACGGGUGCGUAACGCUUGGGAAUCUGCCCUUGGGUUCGGAAUAACAGUUAGAAAUGACUGCUAAUACCGGAUGAUGACUUCGGUCCAAAGAUUUAUCGCCCAAGGAUGAGCCCGCGUAGGAUUAGCUAGUUGGUAGGGUAAAGGCCUACCAAGGCGACGAUCCUUAGCUGGUCUGAGAGGAUGAUCAGCCACACUGGGACUGAGACACGGCCCAGACUCCUACGGGAGGCAGCAGUGGGGAAUAUUGGACAAUGGGCGAAAGCCUGAUCCAGCAAUGCCGCGUGAGUGAUGAAGGCCCUAGGGUUGUAAAGCUCUUUUACCCGGGAUGAUAAUGACAGUACCGGGAGAAUAAGCCCCGGCUAACUCCGUGCCAGCCGCCGCAGUAAUAC